rnacentral:rRNA from 1 species
AAACCGUCCAGGGGUAAACCUGCGAAACUCGAAUGAACGAACGGAGAGAUUCAUCGUCAUUCCGCGGCGCACGUGCGCGGGUUCGGAUGCCUUCGGCCUCGCGCCGUGGGCACCGCUCGCGCCCGUCGCGUCCGCGGACGGCGUGCACUUCUCUCCCAGUAAUACAUCGCGACCCGUUCGGUGUCGGUCUAAGCGCCUUCCGGGAGUCUCAGCGCCGUACUCGUACGCGCGCUGUGACCGCGAAGUGUCGCCGACCGGCCGCCGGACGGUAUGUUAUACGAAACGCUCACGCGCUCGCGCGCGUCCGGCCCGACGCAAGGUGUCGCGUCGUAUCCUUUGUCCUGCCCGUGUGCGGACCGAGGUGCGGCGCGCCUGUCGUCGCAGCCGUGCUGUCUCGGACUGUGGGCGUAUC